rnacentral:lncRNA from 1 species
UGGUUUCUGUGUUUCACAUCCUUCCUAGAAAGGCUUCCUUCUGGUGGGUGCCUUGCCUUCUUCUGAGACAUCUCUGUGGGUCUCAGAGCCAUCGUUGCUGUGUUCCCUUUACCCUGGCCCAGCACCCUUAUCCUCUCAGGCAGUGUGCCUGUGUUUGUCAGGCUGGCUUAUGGGGUGGGGACAGAAACCCACUGAUGCACCCUCAUCCAGACUUUAUUAUUUAUGUAUUUUUGAGACAGAGUCUCGCUUUGUUGCCCAGGCUGGAGCGCAGUGACACGAUCUCGGCUCACUGCACCCUCUGCCCCCUGGGUUCAGGUGAUUCUCCUACCUCAGCCUCCCGAGUAGCUGGGAUUAUAGGUGUGUGCCACCAUGCCUGGCUAAUUUUUGUAAUUUUAGUAGAGAUGGGGUUUCAUCAUGUUGCCCAGGCCAGUCUCAAACUCCUGACCUCAAGUCAUCUGCCUGCCUCAGCCUCCUGAAGUGCUGGGAUUACAGGCAUGAGCCAUCGUGCCCGGCCACAUCCAGACUUCAGGUGUGGAAAGGAAUCAUGGUUCUCACAGGUGGCUGCUUUCAGCAGCUGAGGGGGUUUCUCUUUCUGGCCUUCAUCUCUUCCUCUCUUUUUGCCUGCUCGCUCUUCUUUCUCUCUCUCUCUCUCUCUGCAGAUUUCUGCUUUCUGGGCUCUUGCCUGCCCCACACCUAAGCCCUGUGCUAAGCCCUUUACCUCCUGAGCUUAUGUAGGCCUCACCACCAUCCUAGGAGAUCCUGGUGGCUUUGAGACACCUUCACUUCAAGAACAUUGUCCACUGUGACUUGAAACCAGAAAACGUGUUGCUGGCAUCAGCAGACCCAUUUCCUCAGGUGAAGCUGUGUGACUUUGGCUUUGCUCGCAUCAUCGGCGAGAAGUCGUUCCGCCGCUCAGUGGUGGGCACGCCGGCCUACCUGGCACCCGAGGUGCUGCUCAACCAGGGCUACAACCGCUCGCUGGACAUGUGG